rnacentral:sRNA from 12 species
UGGGUUAUAUGCCUUUAUUGUCAUUUAAAAUUUAUAUUGUUGCCGUCUCAUUCAUAUCGAAUGAUUAAUUCGUCGGAAAAUGACAAGCCCGAAUAGUUUUACUAUUCGGGCUUUUUUUAUUGCGCCA